GUACGGAAUAAGAGUGGAAGUCUUCCGAGCAUCUUAUGCUCCCUUCAUGAUGUGUUCCAGGUGGAUUGUUUCUCAGGCUCCUCUCCUUUAUGCCACCUCCCAGGAGGAGGUAACCACAGGUCUUGUGCAGGCAACCAGAGCUGCUGUGGGUUCCUGAGAGCAAGAGUCCUACAAUGUCCGGAAGACACUAUUUUGCAGCAAUCAUCCCCUCCUUCUUCUACGACUUCUACUGAACCUUUGAGACAUGACUGCUGCACAUGGAUUUACACUUCUGCGGUCAUUUGCACAAGACCUGUACAAGAUCUAGCAUGGAUAUGGAAGGGGAUUCUGC
rnacentral:lncRNA from 1 species